rnacentral:tRNA from 1 species
GCGGGAAUAGCUCAGUUGGUAGAGCACGACCUUGCCAAGGUCGGGGUCGCGAGUUCGAGUCUCGUUUCCCGAGAGCACGACCUUGCCAAGGUCGGGGUCGCGAGUUCGAGUCUCGUUUCCCGCUCCA